rnacentral:rRNA from 1 species
CCUACGGGAGGCAGCAGUAGGGAAUAUUGCUCAAUGGGGGAAACCCUGAAGCAGCAACGCCGCGUGGAGGAUGAAGGUUUUCGGAUUGUAAACUCCUUUUGUUAGAGAAGAUAAUGACGGUAUCUAACGAAUAAGCACCGGCUAACCCCGGGCCAGCAGCCGCGGUCAUACGGAGGGUGCAAGCGUUACUCGGAAUCACUGGGCGUAAAGAGCGCGUAGGCGGGAUAGCAAGUCAGAGGUGAAAUCCUAUGGCUUAACCAGAGAACUGCAUUUGAAACUGUUAUGCUAGAGUUUGGGAGAGGUAGGUGGAAUGCUUGGUGUAGCGGUAAAAUCCGUAGAGAUCAAGAGGAAUACUGAUUGCGAAGGCGACCUGCUAGAACAUAAUUGACGCUGAUGCGCGAAAGCGUGGGGAGCAAACAGGAUUAGAUACCCGUGUAGUC